AAUGUUUAAUUUUCAUGUCAGUACUUCUAACUCAGUGGCUGUAAGUGGGUUAUGAAAAGGAUUAAGUAAUUUUGAAAAAAUUGCCAAAAAAGAGAAUUCCAUCCCAACCUUUAAUGUAUGUUUUUGUGUAUAUUUCUUGAAAAAACAGAAAUAUUUAGCAGGAUCAUUAGAAACAGCAAACUCAGGAUCACUUUUUUGGGCAAAUCGACACUAAAACAGGCUAAGGGGUGCACUCACACUAGGCCAUCUGGCCGUGGCCGUGGCCGUUUUCACACCUAACCGUGCUCAAAUUGAACUUCGAAUAUGAUCUUUGGGCAAAAGUCAAAGCCCUAUCACAUAGAGACACACACGAAAAUGUUCAGCCAUUUGUAGCCAUGAAAAAUUUGUCGGCUGCAGCAGCGAUUUAGGUUUUGGCUGAGCCGGCUAGCCAGCCAAUAACUUCAUCAGCCAGCCAUUAUUCUCAAAACAAAUGGCUUCGGGGUCUGUGUGGGUGCAGGCCAGAGAACAAUGGGGCCAUUCGAGCACGGUUAGGUGUGAAAACGGCCAACGGCCACGGCCAGAUGGCCUAGUGUGAGUGCACCCUAAAUGGACAAGCCUCUAAGCCUAAGGCAAGGUUUUUCAAGUGUGUGUGUGUGUGGACCACUAUUUUUAAUCAAUUUUCGCGGACCACCUCAUAAUACUCAUAAUUAAAUAUGUCUGCACACAGUCCUACCUGAAUUACCCGCCCCUCUUAAUAGGCCUAGUAUCACUAAAAACAACUGGUCAUAGCAUCAGUACAACAGGCUUGUUAAAAGGAAGUACUUUAUAUUUUAUUGUGCUUUUCCACGGACCACAUGCAGUACCGUCACGGAACACUGGUGGUCCGCGGACCAGUGUUUUUAUGUGCGUAAAAGCAAGGGCUAUUUGGUUCUUUACAGGGACUCGCACCUUUGUUGCAUUUGAGAAUUACAGCACAUUCAAAUCAUCCCGCCUUCCUCCAAUGCCCCACCCCCUCGUUCCCAUCCGCGGUCUUUUAUUUAAGAAACUUUAUUUACACAAGCAGACUUACAACCUACUGCCUCCGCGCACGCACGUGAGUUUUUGUUUACCGAAGCAAUGGAAUCGGAUUCAGAAGCACCGGACGACAGUGUAGUAGAUCCUGACUACAGCAUUGAAGUUUACACAGAGGAAGAUGAUAUUGAUAUUGAUGACGAUGAUGAUGACGAUUCUCCAGGCGAAGACACCUCAAGGAAGAAAGCAAGGACUGAAAGUGGAGGCAGAGGAAACCAUGGCAGGGGAAUGAAAGGCAGGGGCCGUGGUUUUCCACAACACAAAAAAAAACCAAACACAUAAGGCCAACAAGUUGUGGAGGCAGAGGAAACGAGCAGAGGAGCCAGAAAAAGAACAGGCCCUUCUAGAGGCAGCCGAGGCAGAGGUAGGGGGGGCCGUGGUGUGACACAGGGUGGAGAGGACUGUGAUGAGGAGAGACCAGGAACCAACAGAGAUGUUCCUAGCAGAGCAAGAAGAAGAGCAAGAGGUCGCCGGGGACGUGGACCUGCUGUUCUUACUCAUGAUGAUCUAGUUCAGCAAUUUCAGCAGGAGAGGAUUGCCGCUGAGCAGGCUAGAAUUCAAGCUCUAGACAUCACACAGUCUCAUGAGCUGCUUCUGACCUGCCUGGAAAGGGACCCAAGCAUGCUGUUUGACCUGAUGGCACACUCACAGGUUCAGGAUGAUUCCCAAAUUAUUCGAACACCCGGGCAACCAGAGUGGUGUGUCUGUGGCAGAUGCAGGUAGAUGAUUAGAGACAUUGAGAAGGUGUGCUGCCGACAAACGCUGGAAAAUUGCAUCUCUGUCCUGCCUCACAUGGAUGCCUUCAUCUUGCAGCCGGGGGUCCUCCGCAUGGCUAGACGCAUCUGGAAUGACUCCCGAGCAUUAGAUGAUGCACAAACACCGGGGGAAAGCCACAGGCAGUUCCGCUUUUCUGCAUAUAGACAGUAUAUAAUUUGGCAGUAUGGUCAACUUGGACAAGGCCACAGAGUUGUCAUACCAAGUUGCUGUGUUUGGAGAAUACGUGAAACAUACCCAGACCCUAAUGGGAUCUACAAAGGUUUUAUCCCUAGCCGAAAUGGUAUAGAUAAGGAAUAGACUCCAGCCCGUGUACCCUGCCCUGUGAAUUAUGUACAUGGUACUGUCUUAUUACUGUAUAUUUUGGCCAUAGUUAGUGACCCAUGUUUCUAAAUUAAAAAUACAUAUUUAC